rnacentral:rRNA from 1 species
AUUGAACGCUGGCGGCAGGCCGAACACAUGCAAGUCGAACGAGUGGCGGACGGGUGAGUAAUGUCUGGGAAACUGCCUGAUGGAGGGGGAUAACUACGGGAAACGGUAGCUAAUACCGCAUAACAUCAGAUGUGCCCAGAUGGGAUUAGAUUGUUGGUGGGGUAACGGCUCCCCAAGGCGACGAUCCCUAGAUGGUCUGAGAGGAUUACCAGCCACACUGGAACUGAGCCACGGUCCAGACUCCUACGGUAGGCAGCAGUGGGGAAUAUUGCACAGUGGGCGCGAGCCUGAUGCAGCCAACACGCGUGUAUGGUGAAGGCCUUCGGGUUGUAAAGUACUUUCAGCGAGGAGGCGUUACCCGCAGGAGAAGCACCGGCUAACUCCGUGCCAGCAGCCGCGGUAAUUC